CAAAAGGGCUCAUGCUUACUCAUAGCACAGGGUCGGUCACCGACUUUGCGGAAUCGACAUCAAGAGAUUUCGUGAGCACAUUCUUUCAAAAGGAGUCAGUAGUCUCACCAGACAUGCGACUCC
rnacentral:snRNA from 1 species